CGACAUCACUGGUUUAUAUGAUUGCAUUUGUUCUAAUACGUUAUAGUUUCCAUAGUAACAGCAAAUUCAUAGGGACUUAUAUGGUUGAUGCUCCACAUAAACAGAUUACGCACAAUGUUUUUAAAUAGUUGAUAUACGGACGUUUUUUUUUUUUUUUUUUUGUUGAGACAUUUUAGGAAGGAGUCUUCCAAAGGAGUGUCAGCAGUUUAUAACGGUAUAAAGCGGUAACUUUAAGUUUUCUGACACAUCUUCAGGAUGGAGGAUUUGUGCUGUCUGUGGUUUCUAGGUAACAUGAUAAACAAUGACCCCCCCCCCCCCCUUAUUAACUUCAAUUUGCGAGAGAAAAGCGAUUCUGGAGAUGGAAUGACUGUUUAGAGCUGCUACAAUAAGCACACGGGAAAGAGACGAGUCGUUUCGGUACCUCCGACAAUCCCGAUACAUAAGUACAGGUGUGUGAUGGUGGUGCUGAAUGAAGCCGCCACCAUGGAGAUACUGCACAUGAGGCCUCCUGUGAUAACCACAGGCCUGCUGCCAUAGCGGUUCACCAACACACUGCUCACUGGACCUGGACACAGACAGACAGAAAGAGUGUGAAUUAAUACCGGUAGGGCUGUACAAUGAACCACAUUAUAAACCUGG